rnacentral:rRNA from 1 species
CUGCCAGUGACCAAGUUCAACGGCCGCGGUAUCCUAACCGUGCGAAGGUAGCGUAAUCACUUGUUCUUUAAAUGAGGACUAGUAUGAAUGGCACCACGAGGGCUAUACUGUCUCCUUUUUCUAAUCAAUGAAACUGAUCCCCCCGUGAAGAAGCGGGGAUAAACAUAUAAGACGAGAAGACCCUAUGGAGCUUUAAACAAAAUAGCACUGGCCCCCUCUUCCCAACUUCCAGAAACAUAACACCUAUACUGGCCAAAAUGACUAUUAGUUUUAGGUUGGGGUGACCACGGAGCAAAAAUUAACCUCCACAUUGAACGGAAAUACUCCUGAGCCAAAAGCUACGACUUUAAGCACCAAUAAACUGACAUUAAUUGACCCAAUAUUUUGAUCAACGAACCAAGUUACCCUAGGGAUAACAGCGCAAUCCAUUUCAAGAGCUCCUAUCGACAAAUGGGUUUACGACCUCGAUGUUGGAUCAGGGUACCCCAGUGGUGCAGCCGCUACUAAAGGUUCGUUUGUUCAACGAUUAAAACCCUACGUGAUCUG